UCUACAGACUCGAUGAGAUGGGUGUCAUCUCUCUCCUUCGACGGUCGCAGCGUGACGCCUGAAUUUCUCUGUGCAAUCUGAAACGGUCCGAUUAAUUUCUUCAUGAUUAAUCUCAUUUAUUCAGACGCCCACGAUGUGGUCUUGAAUGCGUUGUUAGAUCUACGAGGCUGUAUGCGUUCGGUAUAAAUAUAUGUGAGUAUUUCUCACCUUGAACUCAUCAUCUCUUCGUAUCUCUUAUACUAACGUGGAAACUAUUUUCAAAUUAUUUACCACCGUAUAUCCUCUCCGCUCCUUUGCAUUGUUUUUCUUUCUGAACGGAACGAGCCAGAACGGACUCCGGCGGUGGAUUGCAUUUCCGGCAAGCUGCGGCGAUUAGAUGGCGUUAUAACCGGAAGAACCAUGCGGUUUGCUAAAGGAGUUUCUGUCGGAAGGCGUUCCUGUUGAUUCUCAAAGCAUGCCAUUGAUUGGGCAGCUGGCCAUGACCAAAGAGAUGCUGUGCAAGUUUGUUAGAACACAACGACGAGGUCUCAUUGAACGGCAAUAUGGUUUGUGCUUAGACAGAGACGCCUCCAGCUCCUCGAUACAGAUGUGGCCAAGUACUUGGUGGCGCAGAGUUACGGAUCUGAUUUGUCGUCGUACUCUUUUGGAACACAUCAGAAAGGUUUAUUCUUUGGACUGGACACCUGAGAUGAACCAGAUUGUCAGUGCAUCUCAACAAGACACGCUCAGUUAGAAGAGAAAAGUGAUGGAAAGGGGAAAGACACAACCAAAUGGCCAAUUGAUAAAGUGCUGAAAAAUGCAAUCGUUUAGAUCUUGAAAAGGAUGUUCUUCUUCAAUGGCUGCCUUGAGUUUACCGUCUCUACCAAAUGUCCUUAUCUCAGACACUUGUGGAGAAGCUUAUGGUCUCUGUCAAAGCUGCAGAGCCUUUUCCUUCAAUCGUUGCAGCAUCUAAAACUCUUGCAGUGGUUUCAUCUGGAUUGUGUGGAGAUCACGGAGAUGCCAUACAUUUGACAACAAUAAUGCUACCGAUAUCAAUGAACAUAAAAUUUUCUCCAACUCUCUCUUUUUCAUGUUACCACUCCAUUAAGAAGCUAUCUAGAGAUUUUUUUUUUCUGUCAA